CUUGUCUACGAAAAUGAGAAGUACAUGCUACUUAUAGCCAAAUAUCCCGAAACCCUAAUACUCAAAACGACGAAGUAUUGGGACGGGUUAAGAACUGUACUCGACCCAUGUGGUCGAGUGAGAGGUCGAGUGAAUAGCUGGAGUCUUCUUUUCUUCCUUGUGCUCGAGUGUCUGGUUGAGUGCAGAAUGAAGAAGGCUCUGAAGCUUGUCAUUCGAGUAUGCAGUCGAGUGUUGUGAUGGCGAUACUCGACCUCUAGGUGGAGUGAUGAGGUCGAGUAGUGGUCUGGCAGUGAAGGUGAAGGCACUCGACCCCAUGGUCGAGUGAUGUGAUCGAGUGAUUGUUUGGUGAUGGAGAUGAGGGCACUCGACCUCGUGGUCGAGUGGUGAAGUGAAGUGGUGAUGUCCUCUACUUGACCUGGUGGUCGAGUGGUUUGUCAUGAUCAGGUCCGCUUCUUCCAGAUAGCUUGUCAACAGCUCCAAAUCACCUGAAAUCAACGCAAAUAUGCAACAUGCAUGCAAAACUAUCCUAAACAUGCAAAGUGAUGACAAAUGAUGUGAAAUGGUAUAAAACAGUGAUGAUAUGAUGCUAAAGUGAUGACAAAUGAUGACAAAUGGAUGCUCAAAACAUGCAAAAUACACACUUAUCAGCUACGUUUCAGUUCUUAUCAGCGUGAAUGUCCCCAACAUGGCUUCCAAGAGAGACAACUCAUCUACCUAUUCUACAAAGGAUUAGACAAGCCAUACCGGAGUCAACUCGAUGCAGCAAGCUAUUGUAACUUCAUGACAAGAACCACUAGUGAAGCAUUACUCCUCACCACCAAUGCUUUAACUUGUCUUUCGACGCAGGAAGUUGACAUAGAACAAAGAAUUUCAACUGAGAUAGCCACCGCGAGCAAAGAGACUCCUGUUUCAGCAAUAUCUGCUCCUAUCCAAGCCCCCCCUCCACCCUCAUCAGAGACAAUAAUGGAAUUUAUGCUUGCGCAGCUUCUUGCAGGCCUAACCAAGCUUGAUAGCAAAUAUGAUUCUCUCUCCACCGAUCUCAAUAGCAAGAUUGACAAUCUACGCUCUCAUAUCUCCAAUCUCUCACCUACAUCAGCUUCUAUCAAUGCAGUCGCACUACGCAGCGCAAAGCAGCUCAACCCAAUACUUCAGCGCGAACGAUCAGCUCAGCCUUCAUCUUUUCUUAUUGCAGAGAAAAACUCAGUGUCGAUCGAUACACCAUGGUAUCGAUCGACACCAAUUACUCUUGACGACUCUGUUUUUCCUUUGUCGAGUGGAAUCGACAAUUUCGCGGUGGAGGAGGAAACUAUUCCCGAUGGUGUCGAUCGACACCCAGCUCCUGUCGAUCGACACCGAGCUCGUUCAGACAGUGUGCAAAUUCCAGCUGAAACCAAGUCAGCAAAUCAACGAAUUUCCUUCUCCAAGAGUCCUAAAAAGUCAAGACAAGCCUUAGAUGAUGUCAGAUGCAAGGCUAUGAUUGAUAAUCUGAUUAUUGAGAUGCCUCUAGUUGAAGCUAUUCAUCUAUCUCCCACAAUCAGAAGGUAUGUUAAGACAAUGGUCACUAAGAAUUUGACGAAAGAAUGCAGUGUUACGAUGAUUUCAGAGCAGGGCAUCGACAUCAUUCAGGAACGAAUCCCAAAAAAGCUGCCUGAUCCUGGAACCUCUGUACUAAGUGUCACCAUCAAUCUUGAUUUCCUC
rnacentral:sRNA from 1 species